GAAACACGGACCAAGGAGUUCAACUGGAUUGCGAGUCGUAGAGUUUUACUCGAAACUCUUUUAUAAAAAGCCUAGCUUUUUAUAUACGGCGUAGCGAAAGCAAAAUUGUGCGAAGCGACAUAUUUUAUGUGUUGCUGCAGCACAGGCUGAUUAUGGAUAUGCAUAGAACUUCUGUGCAUACUUGAAUUUUUUCGCUUGCGAAUCAAUUCUUAAGAUUAAUCAAGCUAAAGAGCAGUUUAGUUGAGACCCGAAAGAUGGUGAACUAUGCUCGGACAUGGUGAAGCCAGGUGAAAACUUGGUGGAAGCUUGCGUUGUGCGGAACUGACGUGCAAAUCGUUGCCGCCUGACCUGAGUAUAGGGGCGAAAGACUCAUCGAACCAUCUAGUAGCUGGUUCCCUCCGAAGUUUCCCUCAGGAUAGCUCGAAUUUACUUCAAACAUACAGUGAUUUAAUCACACAUAAAAACAUGAGUAACACAAGGGUAAAGCAAUGAGACGCGGUAUCUGUGGGUCUUCUUUUAAUGACCUCGGCCUUCUCUCAAACUUUAAAUCUGUGCGAUUACGUGUGCUUUCUUAAAAUGUAAAAAUUUCUCAAUUUAUUGUGGGGUUUUUGCAGUGAAGCCAUGCGAGGUUUCCAAUUUUAUUAUUGGAUUCCUUAUAUAUUGUAUCAAAAAUUCGUAGUGGGCCAUUUCUGGUAAGCAGAACUGGCGAUGAGGGAUUCAACCUGACGUUCUCAAGAUAAGCCGGGCUUAAUCAUAUCUGCUCCAACCUUCCGAUAAACGCGA
rnacentral:rRNA from 1 species